GAUAGGCCGGGUGUGUAAGCGCAGCGAUGCGUUGAGCUAACCGGUACUAAUGAACCGUGAGGCUUAACCUUACAACGCCGAAGGUGUUU
rnacentral:rRNA from 1 species